AAUGCGUGAAAAUUAAGCACUUUGGCUCUGCCAGUAAACAAGCAACUUUUAACUUUAUGUUUAAACCGCUUUCAAGACCUUCUCACACAUACAAAAAAACCAUAGAAACCCCGAAAAAAAUCAGUGGGAAACUUGAAAGCGGCAAAGACCGACAAAAUUUAAAAGAAACAAUAACGAAUUGAAGGUUGUUUUUUAAACGAACAAGAAAGUAGUUGGUUUCACAAUUAUUAUAUGAUGUAGUUGCGGAUGUGAUGAUUAUAUGUAAUUGGAGCAAAAUAUCUUUGUUAAACACCUCCUUCUACAGAACAGGUGACAAAUAGGUACACGCACUUUAACACAUUCAGUCCAGAAGAUGUUGUUUUUACUGAACAACAAUAUUCAGUCUUAUCGAUAAAAAUGUGAUAACAAACACUUUGAUAUUAAUUAACACAAUUAAUUAAGAAAAACCGCACUAAAAAU